AGACGGCAAGGGAUGUGUAGCUUUUUCAAUCCUGGCCAUAACAUUCUUCUUCAUGCUCUUCUCAAUGUCCUUUCUCCUUUCAUUAGGUAAAAUGGAGAUGAUCCCCAGGGCCAUCUUGGAAACAGUUUUUGAAGUUGGUAGAGUCUCGGGCCCGCUUAACUGCUGAAAGAGUAGGAAGGGGUCCGUUUCAUUAGCGCGUUCAACCAAAGAGCGCUGUUAGGUUUCCUGCACCACAAGGUUCCUUUCACUUAAAAAAAUUUUUUUUUAUAUUACACCAUCUUUAUUUGUACCUUACCGUCUAAGGCUAUCAAUCAAACUUCAGUAAGAACAGUUUCAGCAUCAACUAACGAACAGUAGCCAAACCAGAGAGCAGUCAAAAGUGUUUUAAAGGGAGCAGCAUCAGCUGAUGUUCUGCCAAGUCUCUGGGUGUUCAGGACCAUGGUCCCCCGGCACUUCCAGGCCCCUGUGGGCUGCAGGUGGAUCCCCAGGAGCCAAAGGGCCGCUCAGGAAAGGGUGGAACUUGGCCUCGCAAUCAGCUGGCUUCUGCCUAUUAUGGUCAUCUUCUUUCCAGAGGUCUUGCUAUCUCAGUGGACGUG
rnacentral:lncRNA from 1 species